rnacentral:rRNA from 1 species
CCCGCUGAACUUAAGCAUAUCAAUAAGCGGAGGAAAAGAAACCAACAGGGAUAGCCUCAGUAACGGCGAGUGAAGCGGCAAAAGCUCAAAUUUGAAAUCUGGCUUCCAGUUCUGGAGCCCGAGUUGUAAUUUGCAGAGGAUGCUUCGGGUGCGGCUGCGGUUUAAGUCCCCUGGAACGGGGCAUCAUAGAGGGUGAGAAUCCCGUCUGGGACCGCCAGCCCUGCCCGUGUGAAGCUCCUUCGACGAGUCGAGUUGUUUGGGAAUGCAGCUCAAAAUGGGUGGUAAAUUCCAUCUAAAGCUAAAUAUUGGCGAGAGACCGAUAGCGAACAAGUACCGUGAGGGAAAGAUGAAAAGCACUUUGGAAAGAGAGUUAAACAGUACGUGAAAUUGUUGAAAGGGAAACGUUUGAAGUCAGUCGCGUCGGCCGAGACUCAACCUUGCGCUCGCGCUCGGUGCACUUCUCGGUUGACGGGUCAGCAUCAAUUUCGACCGCCGGACAAAGGUUGGGGGAAUGUGGCAUCCUUCGGGAUGUGUUAUAGCCCUCGAUUCACAUACGGCGAUUGGGAUUGAGGAACUCGGCGCCUCGCGCGUCCAGGAUGCUGGCAUAAUGGCUUUAAGCGACCCGUCUUGAAACACGG